ACGGGGCGCAGCAGGCGCGAAAACUUUACAAUGCGAGAAAUCGUGAUAAGGGAACCCCGAGUGCCCGUAAAUUCGGGCUGUCCGCCAGUGCAAAAAACUGGCGAAGAAAGAGCCGGGCAAGACCGGUGCCAGCCGCCGCGGUAACACCGGCGGCUCGAGUGGUGGUCACUAUUACUGGGCUUAAAGCGUCCGUAGCUUGGUUGUUAAGUCUCUUGGGAAAUCCACCGGCUCAACCGAUGGGCGUCAGGAGAUACUGGCAACCUAGGGACCAGGAGAGGUGAGGGGUACUCCAGGGGUAGGAGUGAAAUCCUGUAAUCCUUGGGGGACCACCUGUGGCGAAGGCGUCUCACUAGAACGGCUCCGACAGUGAGGGACGAAAGCUGGGGGAGCAAACCGGAUUAGAUACCCGGGUAGUCCUAGCCGUAAACGAUACUCGCUAGGUGUCGGCCACGGUGCGACCGUUGUCGGUGCCGUAGGGAAGCCGUGAAGCGAGCCACCUGGGAAGUACGGCCGCAAGGCUGAAACUUAAAGGAAUUGGCGGGGGAGCACCACAACGGGUGGAGCUUGCGGUUUAAUUGGAUUCAACGCCG
rnacentral:rRNA from 1 species